CCCUUAGAUGUUCUGGGCCGCACGCGCGCUACACUGAUGCAUUCAACGAGUCUAAAACCUGGUCUGAUAGGGCUGGGUAAUCUUUUGAAUGUGCAUCGUGAUUGGGAUAGAUGAUUGCAAUUCUUCAUCUUCAACGAGGAAUGCCUAGUAAACGCAAGUCAUCAGCUUGCAUUGAUUACGUCCCUGCCCUUUGUACACACCGCCCGUCGCUCCUAACGAUUGAAUGAUCCGAUGAAUAUCAUGGAUUGAGGAUGCAAGUAGGUUAGCCUAUCUUCAUCUUCGAGAAGUGAAGUAAAUCUUAUCAUUUAGAGGAAGGAGAAGUCGUAACA
rnacentral:rRNA from 1 species